UUCGGCUCCAAACGCCGUGUACCCGGGCUGGUGUAUAUUUCUUAAAAGUUGCCAAAUAUAAUUAUUAUUAACAGCAAAUCGCCCAUAAUAGUUUAUUUUUUAUCCUGAUCAUUUCAUUAUUGUCACAGCUCCAGCACUUUCCUGGCGUUGCCCCCUGCAGCCACACAACGAUGCACGGGGUGCGAGGCAUCCCCAAAGGAUCACAUCCCGGACAAGCGAGGCGGGAUUGCCUACCCCAGGCGUCCUCGGCCACAACUCCCUGAGGUUCCCCAUAGAGCUGCGGCCACAAUGUUGCAUGGGUCGGGAGCCCUAAAGAAUCACAUCCCGCGACCACGAUAUGUCGGAACUCGGCCCAGAAAUGUUCUUAACAUGAGCAAGAGAAGUCUAUAGAGUCAUUUUACCCAAAAGAAUAGGAAGAUCGGCCUGGAGCUGGAGGUGAACCUGUCCUGGACAUAGCCGUGCGGCCCAUGGAAUCAUCAGAUAUAAGUUGAGUUGGCGUCACAGUGAUUACAGCUGGUCCAGUUGUUUUAUUCUAGUGUACAGUCUGAAUAAGCUUGAAUGAUUUUCCCUCUGGUACCAAACUUUGUUGGCCAUCUAAAGUCACUUUUCACGACAGGGGUGUUUUCGAACCUAUGGUAGUUUUCUGAUGCCAUAAUUUACCCCACUGUAAAUUUUGUAAAAUUUGUACCAAAAAUAUUGAUAAUCUUUUAUUU